rnacentral:misc_RNA from 1 species
GCUUUUUAUAUGCUCGACUUUUAAUGCCCUAGACGAUAUUUUUUUUUCUCAUGCCAGUGUAAUCAAAUUGAGUGUUUAUUAUUAUGAUAUUAUGUGAGAGAGAGACUAAAUCAAAUCAGUGACUGCUGAAAAAGAUUUAAUGUUCACUGUAAGCACAGGCUCAUGACGUUAAAACUUAUUUUUUUAUAGUAAGGAAAUUUUCCAUUCUAUUCUAUCAUAGUACAGGAAAUUAUCUUACUAUAAAAAGAAAUAAUUUUAACGCCAGGUGCCGAUGACUGUAACUUACAAAUUGUGUAGUAUCCAAGCACAUUCAUACAUCUUUGUAUAAGUCCUGCUAGCUCUGUCAUAUGUUUGUACACUGUUAUGAUUUUUUUUUUUCAUGUUUGUAACUCUCAACUAUUUUUUCCAAUACUCUAAGAUAGGGAGACUGUGUUUACGGAGCAAUGAACUGAUUCAGAUCCGGUACAGAGGGUAAAUGAUUCAAACUGACGUGUUUUGAGGUUGUUUAUUUUUUUUUUUUGUAUGAGAGAUGUCUUGCUCCAGCAUUUAUUAUUAUUAUUCAGGUGAUACCAAAGAGGUCCCAUUUAUUGAUCAAAUUGAUUGAAUACUCACUUAUUUAACAGCUGGUGCUAUAUGAAAAUCAACGUUUAAUAAUCAGAAUUUCUCUUUUCUACUACAGCAGGUCUACCUAAAAAAGUUGGAGUUCUCUCGGUUGAUAAAAAUUUAGCAUUUUUCAUUAUUUUUUCUUUUAUGAAUGAUUUUAGAUGCUGUUUUUUUUUUUUUUUUUUUUUUCUUCAUGUCUUUACACCCAUGUGUUGAAUACUUUGUUUUGAUAGUCCAUUUAUUUUUUACUCUCCUUUUAUUGUAAAGAAGCAUUAUGUUUCAAAUUAAUUAAUUUUGAUAUUUUACAUCAUUCUCAGUAUUAGCAACAUUAAAAUAGCUGUACUGUGCUUCUAGGUUAAAAAAUUUAUUACUUGGAUAUGAAAUUGUUAGAUCUGUCAUGCUUCAAAAUUUUAUAAUAAAGUACUAUAAAGCUU